rnacentral:rRNA from 1 species
GUGGGGAAUAUUGGACAAUGGGCGAAAGCCUGAUCCAGCCAUGCCGCGUGUGUGAAGAAGGUCUUCGGAUUGUAAAGCACUUUAAGUUGGGAGGAAGGGUUGUAGAUUAAUACUCUGCAAUUUUGACGUUACCGACAGAAUAAGCACCGGCUAACUCUGUGCCAGCAGCCGCGGUAAUACAGAGGGUGCAAGCGUUAAUCGGAAUUACUGGGCGUAAAGCGCGCGUAGGUGGUUUGUUAAGUUGGAUGUGAAAGCCCCGGGCUCAACCUGGGAACUGCAUCCAAAACUGGCAAGCUAGAGUACGGUAGAGGGUGGUGGAAUUUCCUGUGUAGCGGUGAAAUGCGUAGAUAUAGGAAGGAACACCAGUGGCGAAGGCGACCACCUGGACUGAUACUGACACUGAGGUGCGAAAGCGUGGGGAGCAAACAGG